AAGAUAUGUUGAAGUUCUAACCCCCAGCACCUCAGAAUGUGACCUUAUUUGGAGACGGUUUCAUUCCAGAUGCAAUUAAUUAUGCUAAAUUGCAGUAAACCCUAGAAGAAAACCUAGGCAUUACCAUUCAGGACAUAGGCACGGGCAAGGACUUCAUGUCUAAAACACCAAAAGCAAUGGCAACAAAAGACAAAAUUGACAAAUGGG
rnacentral:lncRNA from 1 species